UUAUUUAUGGCAUCCUUUUUUGGGGUCUUGUGUUGAUAAUUAAUAAUUGUGAACACAUCACUUACAAAUAAAUAAUUGCAGAAGAUUUAGCUCUUUGUGGAACUCAUCCAGAUGUAGACCAGAGCAUUCUUUCCUAGACAAAAGCUUGUGUUUUCACUUAUAGAAGUCAUUCACAAUGAUACUUUAUAUUGUUUAGUACUUAUAUCCUACUGCCAAACCCUUUAUUUUUAAACAGUAAUACUUCUUGUGCAUCAACCCCUAUCACAGGGUGUUAUAAUUCUCUCCCUGAAGACAGACCCGAAUGAGAUCAUUUAUCUUUACAAGUGCCAGGGCUGGGGAUGGGUUUCAGGGUAAGACCAGUAAAAGCAAAGCUUUAGACCAUGAACUAACAGCUUAUAUUUUGGGCAAAUGAUUCAACACAAUGGAUUUUUUAAAGGUUACAGAAUUGAGUGGCAGAAAGAUAGCUGUGGCGUGAGGAUUCGUCUCAGCUCUCUGUGAUCAGAUGAAAGGAGUCCUGCUCCAGGGAAUACACACAAGCAGUGGGGGUUUGGUAGCCCGCUGCGGCCUCGCUCUAGGAUGUGCUUCAGAGUCACCGUCAGCUUUGAUCCCACUGCUUUACAUGAAAUAUUAGGGGAAAAGGUCUCUACUAAUGAGGGGUGAGAACAUACUUACAAUGCAGGUUCCAGUGUUGCUUUCUGGAAGUGAAUGCAUCAAGCCUGAUGAGAAGAAGACGUGGGUAAAGAAUGAAAGGGAGCAACAGGCAUCACUAAAAGGCUUGCCCACCAGGUCCCGCCAGGGGGUGCCUGUUUAUCACAUGCAAUUCUCAUGAACCCUCUGAAGGACAGGCCAUAGCAUUCUUGCCCACACAUACAGGGAUGGGGACUGAACAGGGACUCAGCCAAGGCUGCCCCCCAAUAGCUAGUGGAAUGGACAAGUGGAAGUGCACACCGCAGCUGUCAGCCUGACUCUGUCUGCUGCUCUGCCACCUGUCUGCAUCCUGCCCUGGACAUGUUGCCCGCCUCCUGGUUGCCUGGAGUCCCCUGUGUACCCUUCGGCACCUCGAUCUCCUGUUCUUCCACACUCUUGGUCAGAUAGAGGUGGGGAAGAUGGCCACGCUGGCUCUGCUCAGAGCCAAGUCAGCCCAGCAGGGGGAGAAGAGAAGGUAUCCAGCUAAGAUGACCUCCCUACACACACACCUGAGGCUGAGUAUCUGUGUAGAGCAUGAGGCAUGUACUCCCCAUAUGGCUGAGCUGGGGGCCUUGCACCCACUAAGCUCUGUCCACCCAAAUUCUGGAGAAGACUGGUGCCAGUGGAAACACCGAUCUAGAAAAUCUCACUGUUACCCACCAAAAUGGGGACAGGUAAAAGGAGAAAGGCUGAAGCCUCCCAGAGAAGACAUUUGUAUGUUUCCUGUAGAACAGAAGCACUUCGUGGAGUAACCAGUGACAGAGAAAGGCCACUGAAUUAGGAUAUUUUGGCCAACUGCACUGAAAUUUAAAAAAGGAAAUAAGAUGCAGACAACUCCCACGUUUCUCUAGCCAACAGGAACGGUCCAGCCAAAUAUAAGAAGACAAGGUGUAAGAAAAGGUCUCAGCAUAACCAGAGUCCUUGGAAAAGGCACCUAGGACCCCAGGUGAAGUUGACUCCCUGACCUGGGGGGUCCUGAGAGAACUUCUGGAGUGACAGUGAGAGCAAGGUAUGGAAAAACACAGCCUUAAUGCAAACACACUGUGGGGAGAAGGGGUAGGUGGCCAUGAUGAGAACAUUCUGGAAGAAAAUGCAACUGGAGAAGAAGAGCAUUCCUUGCAAAUGUUUUAGGCCAUCGUAAAUUGAGAGAAAAUAUAGAUUUAAUGACUAACAGGAAUAAAGGUGUGUUGGUAAAACCAAUGAGAUGAAGAGAGACAGUUGCAGAUUUUUCAGUUAAGACUAAACAGCUAAAAACCACCACAGAACUAAUAAAUUAUGAUAAAGAAUGAACACACAGACACAGUGGGGAAAAAUUACUGGCAGAGACAAAAGUGUUGAGAUGAACUCAGCAAAGGCAGAAGAAAAAGAUAAUCACAUUAAACAUUUAAAAACAAUAAAAUAAGGGAUUGGGGAAAAUGACAGCUUCCACUUUUUAAGGAUACUUAGUGCUAUUUAAGUUUUCUCCCCAAGCAUGCCAGUGCACUCACUUAGUGUUUGUUUGAACAUUUUUACAUAGCAACAGAUUUUUUUCUAACUAGUGAGACACUGGCCAAUACUUUUUUCCUUCUUCUUUUUUUCUUUUCCAUUCGGAAACAAAAGAACAAUGUAAUACAUGCCAUUUUUAUAAAGGAAGCAGAUUGAAUCUUCAAAAAACUAAGUCAUAAUUAUGCACUAAUAAAAAGCAAACAAAAGAAUGGAACCUGUACCUGUGUUGUGAAGUCACAUGGCAGCUGCUGGAGGACUGCCAUCAGAUGUGGAUUUAUGUGGAGGAUAUUUCCUCUUCUUUCCCUGCAAUCCUCAUUUCCAGAUUCAAUAGAAGAAGACAGACCCUUGCUGUGUUCACUUCUCACCCCCACACCAAGUCUAGAAAUCAUUCUUCCUUUGAGAUGGGGAAGGCGUUGGAAAGGCUUGCAGCAGGCAGCCUGCUGGCUGGAAAGCCAGCUCACACGGCAGGGCAGCCACACUCAGCAGUCCUUGGACUAAGGGGAGGUACACUCUCAUCAUCGUGAGUUUCGAGAGCUGUCAGCUCAGCUGCAACCAAAGCUACAACUGACGCUUUAGCAGGAAACAGCCACAUCCUCCUGGGACACCGUCCUGAAGGGAACAGCACAAUGUGUGUCAGAUGCAAAGUUUUCAACCUCAGAUCACCAAGAUUUACAUGAGCUCUCAGGCCUCUCUGCAGUGCACCCCCACAGGAAGGCACAGACACCACAAGGCUCAGGUGUGAACAGUGUUGCCUGCUGUCUUCCCCCUGCCCACCCCUCACUCCCCGUGCCCACACUAAUCUCCUGUGUCCUCUUCAACAUCUGGUACUAUAUG